GAUGAACGCUGGCGGCGUGCCUAAUACAUGCAAGUCGAGCGAACAGACGAGGAGCUUGCUCCUCUGACGUUAGCGGCGGACGGGUGAGUAACACGUGGAUAACCUACCUAUAAGACUGGGAUAACUUCGGGAAACCGGAGCUAAUACCGGAUAAUAUAUUGAACCGCAUGGUUCAAUAGUGAAAGACGGUUUUGCUGUCACUUAUAGAUGGAUCCGCGCCGCAUUAGCUAGUUGGUAAGGUAACGGCUUACCAAGGCAACGAUGCGUAGCCGACCUGAGAGGGGGAUCGGCCACACGGGAACGGAGACACGGUCCAGACUCCUACGGGAGGCAGCAGUAGGGAAUCUUCCGCAAUGGGCGAAAGCCUGACGGAGCAACGCCGCGUGAGUGAUGAAGGUCUUCGGAUCGUAAAACUCUGUUAUUAGGGAAGAACAAAUGUGUAAGUAACUAUGCACGUCUUGACGGUACCUAAUCAGAAAGCCACGGCUAACUACGUG
rnacentral:rRNA from 1 species